CAAUAAAACAACAUUCAAUUAUUUUCCGAUAUAGAAACAAAAAUAUCUUAACGAUUUAUACUAAUUAAUUUUGCAGCUUUCCUUUCAAAUUUUAUUUACGACCCAUUAACUAAAACACAGUAAAUCACGCAAUAAUAUCUUAUAAACCAUAAUUCUAUCCUAACAUAUUCCAUAAGCUCCUAACAAAAAUUUACUCACCUUCCAAAAUUGUGAUAUUUCCAAAGAUAUUAUCUACUCGCUCAGGAAGCUUAUUUCUAAGCACACUAUAAAUAGUUCUCUUUCACCGUAGCUCAUAACAACACCAAAACCAAAAGCUUAGUUCCUAUCAACUGUUUUGUUUCUUAAACAAUCUGUACUCAUUUACUUUUGUUUAUAACUGUCGCAGAUUCAAGAUAAAGCAUUGCUCCAAAACAAAAGACUAUCAAGAAGACGACACAAGGCUGAAUAAGUUUCUUUUUAAUGGCUAUUAUAUUUUCUUAUAAAGGAUGUUUUUCGUUAACUCUCAUUCUCAGUUCUAAAGGAAAGAUGACAAAAAGGUUUAA